rnacentral:rRNA from 1 species
GAUGAACGCUGGCGGCGUGCCUAAUACAUGCAAGUCGAGCGAACAGACGAGGAGCUUGCUCCUCUGACGUUAGCGGCGGACGGGUGAGUAACACGUGGAUAACCUACCUAUAAGACUGGGAUAACUUCGGGAAACCGGAGCUAAUACCGGAUAAUAUAUUGAACCGCAUGGUUCAAUAGUGAAAGACGGUUUUGCUGUCACUUAUUGAUGGAUCCGCGCCGCAUUAGCUAGUUGGUAAGGUAACGGCUUACCAAGGCAACGAUGCGUAGCCGACCUGAGAGAGUGAUAGGCCACACUGGAACUGAGCCGGGGUCCAGACUCCUACGGGAGGCAGCAGUAGGGAAUCUUCCGCAAUGGGCGAAAGCUUGACGGAGCAACGCCGCGUGAGUGAUGAAGGUCUUCGGAUCGUAAAACUCUGUUAUUAGGGAAGAACAAAUGUGUAAGUAACUAUGCACGUCUUGACGGUACCUAAUCAGAAAGCCACGGCUAACUACGUG